CCUAAUUUUUCCAGGUUAGUUCUUCAUCGUGCUUGUUCUAACUUAAAUAGUAUUGAUCCAACAAAAAUUUUGAUUCGAGUUUUGUUGUUAAUAAUUUAUAUAUUGGUCUACCCACAACUGAAAACUCAAUAACUGCUUAUGUUACUUGGUUCUAGAAGGUUAUAUCUCUACAUGUUUUGUUAAUUUAUUGUUGAUGUUUUCAUUAGCUUAUUCUGUAAAUUUGGGUUGAAAGUUUUUGGUGUGACUCUCGUCAGUGAUUGCUUUUGGAAUCCAUGGAUGGAUAGUUGUGAGAAAAAGUUUUAAUUUGAUAAUUAUGGUUGAGUAGUCCCAACUAUAAAAGUAACUAUAAAGUACUUACAUAUACUAUUUUUCCUUGAUGUGAUAUUUGUAAGUAACUUAAAUUAUUUGACCGACAUGUUUUUGGAUACUGGUGGAGCAUUGUUUGUGUCUAAGGGCUUGUCUAUAAAUGUGUGUACUUUUUAAACAUUUACAUGAGCUAAAUUAUUAAUGAUGUUGAUAUGACUCUUGCAAUAGUUUGCAUGCUUAUAUUGUUGAUUCUUCUUCUUAUUCUCAUAAGUAUUUACCUAAACUGUGAUAUGUCGAGAUUUGGAUGUGUCCAUAAACUAAUGGUUUGGUUUGCAUAACUAUGAAUGGUUACGAUAAAAAUCUUAUAUGUUAUUUUACAUGAUGAUCCUUAUACAUGUUUGUGAUGCCUUAAUUGUCAAUAUAAUCUAUAAUUAGCUUACCAUACAGGUUGUAUAUACUCUCAUAAAUAGGAAAAGCGAUUUAGCUUACCAUGUAUAGCUUCCAAAAAUCACUCUAGUUUUCUGGUUUCCUUUAAUAACUAGCAACAACCUGGUUUCCUCAUAUAGUUAGUUUCCUUGUAUAAACUAGUAGGUGGCCUAAUAUGUAAUGGUGAUGUCCUGAAAAUUAUUUCAUUCUGAAUUCUAACCAUUCUAUCAUGGUAUCAGAUCCCUUAGUCAUAGUUUUCUAAAAACUCCCAGCCAUUUUUUCCUCUCUCUCAAUUGUAAUCUUAGUCCUUAUGGAGAAGUCAAAUAAUGUUUGUGCUAGAUUUAUUAGCAAAAAUUAUACUGCUUGGGAGUUUCACUUGGAGACUUUUCUCAAAGGUAAAGAGUUGUAUUUUCUUAUCUUAUCUUAAUGGUUUUUGUCUAUACCAAAAUAGCACUUUUAUUUGGUAGAAUGACUUUUUCUUUGUGUAGUGUCUUUCUUUCAUAAACGAUUUUGGCAACUUGUAGUAUUAUGGAGCAUGAAAAGUAGUUGAACAUCCUUUAUCAAAAAACAAGUUUAAUCAACCCCUUUUCUAGCAAAGCUACUCAUGAUGAAAGUCUGUAAAAGGAAAAUGAUAAUUUACAACAUUGUUUUUUUCAAAUUUAGCUCAAGAAAGAGUUUAGAUUAGUCCAUUUUGAUACUUUAACAUCAAUGUAUAUGUAUGAUGAUGCUGUCAGAAUCUUCUUAUAGAGUAGUGAAAUGAUGAAUCGAUAGAUCGUGCUUUUAAAGGAGUUGCUCAGCACUUCAACAAAGUAUUCUCUAAACUAGUGUAAGGUGGUCAUGAUCAUUUGGUUAUGAUGAAGAAAAAGGUUCAGAUAUGAGAACUACUAGGGCUAAAGUGGCU